rnacentral:tRNA from 1 species
AUAUAUAUAGUAUAAUUUAUAUUACAAUUAAUUUCCAAUUAAAAAAUUUAAAUAAUUUUAAUAUAUAUA